rnacentral:rRNA from 1 species
GGCGGACGGGUGAGUAACGCGUGGGUAACCUGCCUUACACAGGGGGAUAACAGUUAGAAAUGACUGCUAAUACCGCAUAAAACAGCAGCACCGCAUGGUGCAACUGUCAAAGAUUUAUCGGUGUAAGAUGGACCCGCGUCUGAUUAGCCAGUUGGUGGGGUAACGGCCUACCAAAGCGACGAUCAGUAGCCGACCUGAGAGGGUGACCGGCCACAUUGGGACUGAGACACGGCCCAAACUCCUACGGGAGGCAGCAGUGGGGAAUAUUGGACAAUGGGCGGAAGCCUGAUCCAGCGACGCCGCGUGAGCGAUGAAGUAUUUCGGUAUGUAAAGCUCUAUCAGCAGGGAAGAAAAUGACGGUACCUGACUAAGAAGCCCCGGCUAACUACGUGCCAGCAGCCGCGGUAAUACGUAGGGGGCAAGCGUUAUCCGGAUUUACUGGGUGUAAAGGGAGCGUAGACGGAAGUGCAAGUCAGAAGUGAAAGCCCGGGGCUUAACCCCGGGACUGCUUUUGAAACUGUGCAUCUAGAGUGCAGGAGAGGUAAGCGGAAUUCCUAGUGUA